GACGAACGCUGGCGGCGUGCUUAACACAUGCAAGUCGAACGAGCGGCGGACGGGUGAGUAAUGUAUGGGGACUGCCCGAUAGAGGGGGAUAACUACUGGAAACGGUGGCUAAUACCGCAUACUAUCGGAUAACCCAUAUGGGAUUAGCUAGUAGGUGGGGUAAAGGCUCACCUAGGCGACGAUCUCUAGCUGGUCUGAGAGGAUGAUCAGCCACACGGGGACUGAGACACGGCCCAGACUCCUACGGAGGCAGCAGUGGGGAAUAUUGCACAAUGGGCGCAAGCCUGAUGCAGCCAUGCCGCGUGUAUGAAGAAGGCCUUAGGGUUGUAAAGUACUUUCAGCGAGGAGGCGUUACUCGCAGAAGAAGCACCGGCUAACUCCGUGCCAGCAGCCGCGGUAAUAC
rnacentral:rRNA from 1 species